GCCGAUUCCUCCCUCUUGUAGAACCGUAAUGCCAUUAAUUUGGUGUUGCGGGGAAACAGGACUGUUACUUUGAAAAAAUUAGAGUGUUUAAAGCAGGCUAGCGCCUGAAUACAUUAGCAUGGAAUAAUGAAAUAGGACGUUCGAACCUAUUUUGUUGGUUUCUAGGAUUGACGUAAUGAUUAAUAGGGAUAGUUGGGGGCAUUAGUAUUCAAUUGUCAGAGGUGAAAUUCUUGGAUUUAUUGAAGACUGACUACUGCGAAAGCAUUUGCCAAGGAUGUUUUCAUUAAUCAAGAACGAAAGUUAGGGGAUCGAAGACGAUCAGAUACCGUCGUAGUCUUAACCAUAAACUAUGCCGACUAGGGAUCGGAUGAUGUUAAUUUUUUAAUGACUCAUUCGGCGCCUUACG
rnacentral:rRNA from 1 species